GACAGAGGUGCCGAGCGUUAGGCGGAAUCACUGGGCUUAAAGCGUGUGUAGGCGGGCGGGCAAGUACCUUGUGAAAUCCCACGGCUCAACCGUGGAACGGCUGGGUAUACUGCCUGUCUUGAGCCAACUAGGGGCGAGCGGAACAGACGGUGGAGCGGUGAAAUGCGUUGAGAUCGGAAGGAACGCCCGUGGCGAAAGCGAGGUCCUGGACGUCUACUGACGCUGAGACGCGAAAGCUAGGGGAGCGAACGGG
rnacentral:rRNA from 1 species